rnacentral:rRNA from 1 species
UGGGGAAUAUUGCACAAUGGGCGCAAGCCUGAUGCAGCCAUGCCGCGUGUAUGAAGAAGGCCUUCGGGUUGUAAAGUACUUUCAGCGGGGAGGAAGGGAGUAAAGUUAAUACCUUUGCUCAUUGACGUUACCCGCAGAAGAAGCACCGGCUAACUCCGUGCCAGCAGCCGCGGUAAUAUGGAGGGUGCAAGCGUUAAUCGGAAUUACUGGGAGUAAAGCGCACGCAGGCGGUUUGUUAAGUCAGAUGUGAAAUCCCCGGGCUCAACCUGGGUACUGCAUCUUAUACUGACUAGCUCGAGUCUCGUAGAGGGGGGUAGAAUUCCAGGUGUAUCGGUGAAAUGCGUGGAGAUCUGGAAAAAUACCGGUAGUGAAGGCGGCCCCCUUGACGAAGAAUGACGCUCAGGUGCGAAAAAGUGGGGAGCAAACAGG